AUUGAACGCUGGCGGCAGGCCUAACACAUGCAAGUCGAGCGGGGUUUUCGGACCUAGCGGCGGACGGGUGAGUAAUGCGUAGGAAGCUGCCCGAUAGAGGGGGAUACCAGUUGGAAACGACUGUUAAUACCGCAUAAUGUCUACGGACCAAAGUGUGGGACCUUCGGGCCACAUGCUAUCGGAUGCGCCUACGUGGGAUUAGCUAGUUGGUUAGGUAAUGGCUCACCAAGGCGACGAUCUCUAGCUGGUUUGAGAGGAUGAUCAGCCACACUGGAACUGAGACACGGUCCAGACUCCUACGGGAGGCAGCAGUGGGGAAUAUUGGACAAUGGGCGCAAGCCUGAUCCAGCCAUGCCGCGUGUGUGAAGAAGGCCUUCGGGCUGUAAAGCACUUUCAGCGAGGAGGAAGGGUGGUGUGUUAAUAGCACAUCAUUUUGACGUUACUCGCAGAAGAAGCACCGGCUAACUCUGUGCCAGCCGCCGCAGUAAGAC
rnacentral:rRNA from 1 species